rnacentral:rRNA from 1 species
UACGUAGGGUGCAAGCGUUGUCCGGAAUUAUUGGGCGUAAAGAGCGUGUAGGCGGCUCGAUAAGUCCGCUGUGAAAGUCCAGGGCUCAACCCUGGGAUGCCGGUGGAUACUGUCGGGCUCGAGUCCGGAAGAGGCGAGUGGAAUUCCUGGUGUAGCGGUGAAAUGCGCAGAUAUCAGGAGGAACACCAAUGGCGAAGGCAGCUCGCUGGGACGUGACUGACGCUGAGACGCGAAAGCGUGGGGAGCAAACAGG